AUGAACGCUGGCGGCGUGCCUAAUACAUGCAAGUCGAGCGCACAGACGAGGAGCUUGCUCCUCUGACGUUAGCGGCGGACGGGUGAGUAACACGUGGAUAACCUACCUAUAAGACUGGGAUAACUUCGGGAAACCGGAGCUAAUACCGGAUAAUAUAUUGAACCGCAUGGUUCAAUAGUGAAAGACGGUUUUGCUGUCACUUAUAGAUGGAUCCGCGCCGCAUUAGCUAGUUGGUAAGGUAACGGCUUACCAAGGCAACGAUGCGUAGCCGACCUGAGAGGGUGAUCGGCCACACUGGAACUGAGACACGGUCCAGACUCCUACGGGAGGCGGCAGUAGGGAAUCUUCCGCAAUGGGCGAAAGCUUGACGGAGCAACGCCGCGUGAGUGAUGAAGGUCUUCGGAUCGUAAAACUCUGUUAUUAGGGAAGAACAAAUGUGUAAGUAACUAUGCACGUCUUGACGGUACCUAAUCAGAAAGCCACGGCUAACUACGUG
rnacentral:rRNA from 1 species